UUAAUUUCAAGCGCCAGAACCCGGCACUCAAUGAGGUAUUUGGUUUACUUUAGAAUAAGGUUUUCACUAACAAACAACCGUAUUCUAUUAGAUUUUCUGGUUAUCGUUGAGUGCUGGGUUGACGAGGAGGGAGUUAAUCGAAGUUUUCGGCGGGUGCUCCCCGGUUCGGUCACGACCGUGAAAGGUACUACAAAACCCGCGGGUAACCGCGGGGACAAAAG
rnacentral:ncRNA from 1 species